rnacentral:lncRNA from 1 species
CAGAGAAAGGGAGAAACAGAUUAAGGGAGAGAAAGUGAAUACAGCGAGGAAGAAAAUUUUACAUAUAUACAUACACUCAUAUACAUUAAUUUAUGCAUACUAGUUGGCUAUAUAUAUAUUUGUGCAUUCUUUUCUAUACGUAGAAGAUUGGAAGAUGAAGCUGAGAAAACAUCUCAGCAUGCACAAUUAAAAAAAAAAUGAAUGAAAAUAGAAGAAACUUAAGAUUAUGAGAGCAACCCAUGAAGUCCAACAUCUGAAAAAUGAGAGUUACAGAAGAAAAAAUGGACAAAAGAGACAUGGAGAUCAAAUUAUCAAAGCAAUUAUACAUUUUCCCAUAAUUGAAUGACAUGACUUUGCAGGUUAAAAGGCUCACCAACUGUCUGUUAUGAUAAUUAAAAUAUGACUCCACAACCAGUAAUGGAUUAAAUAUAUCCCUAAAUCUUCUAGUGAGAUAAAAGAGGUCAAAUACAAAGGAAAUAGGCUUUGAACUCCUUUACAGCAAGUUUGGAAAUAAGAAAACAAGGAAUGAAUGUUUGCAAAAUUUUAACAACUAAUCGUCUCCAACUUUGAAUUCUAUACACAGCCAUUGGACCAAACAAGGGGACAAAAUGGCAGCAGCCAGCCUGACCAUUCCCUUCCCAUCAUGAGGGAGAGGGCUGUGGUAUGGACAGCAGCAGCUGACUGGCCACAGGUGCAGCCACUGCCAUCCAGCCCCGACUCAUUCCUAGAAUAAGAACCACCAGACUGCCCUCUGACACCUGCCUCAGCGGUCCCCACCACUCCUCAAACCCUGUCACCGUCCACAGACAAGCCCUGGAGGGGUGGGGAAAAGGUUUCAUUGUGAGAAACCACUGGGGAUCCUGAAGUUAAAACUCAUCAAAGUGUGGGGAAAACUAAGACUGGCCUAGCAGGAUUUUUACUCUCAAGCUAAUCUACACUCAACCUCAAAGAAUUUAUUAAAAUUCACAUUUAACCAUCUUAUCAGUAUACAUCUUCAAGAGCUUUCGUUUCUGGUACAAAAGUUUCAGCUGCAGUUACUUGUAUUCAUCUGUCUCUUCAGAUUUCGAGGUGGUGGUCUGUCUUGUGAGCUCAAGUCUCUGGUGAUUCUAAUAAAUGUCAUUGAUUUUUUAA